UAAUAAACCCUCAAUCUUUGAAAUAAAACAGGUUUCCUUCAGGGCUGCUGGAUUCCUGUAAACCACGUGGUUUAGGAGUCUGAUCACAAAAGUGAAAGUAUAAGGUUAUUACAGAAACGCCAGCUCGGUCUCAUUCUGCAGCUCCGUCUUUCUCAGCAGCAGCAAAGGAAGCCACAACAUGUUGCCCAGGGGUGUGGUUAAGGUUCACACAAUCAAUAGAGGACAAACAUUUGGGGCAGAUGAAGAUCUGCUGACACAACUGAGAACUGGCCUUCGUGUGAAGCAAACAAGCCAACAGGACAGCGAUGUCAUCAUUGUCUUCUGUCCAAUCAGCUCUUCUGUUGGGUCAGAUGUGGAAGCAGCCAUGAGGGAGGUUUCAGAGUCAGCAAGGGAUAAAAAGAUCAUUCUGGUCCUGAUGCAUCACACCCGGGAUGUCGACUACUCAGCCGGUGGGAGAAGGUGGUCUGAGACCUUCAGGAAUGUUGUCCUGGAUGUUGAUGUCCUCUUCCACGAGACUGUACCAGGACUACUGAACUGUAGAGAAAACAUGGCUGCUGUCAGUCAAAUACAAGAUCUUUUAGAUCAAUAUAGUACUAGAAAUAGAUUAACCAUUAAGUUUGUUGUAUGGAUUUUAUUCUUACUACUGCUACUACUAACAAUAUAUUAUUGUUAACAUGACGAUGUAGUUCACCGUGACCCUGCACAGGAUAAAAUGGGAAAAGAAAAUUAAUUAUUGAAUGGAUGAUGGAGUUCAAUUCCAUUCAAUGUUAUUUAUGUAGCGUCUAUUACAACACAAGUUGCCUCUAGGUGCUUUCCAGGGGCGCAAGAACAUGAUCCUUGAGCAAUUAUUACAUAAACAAUAGCAGGUAAAAUUUAUAUGUUUCCAGCCUUAUUUUUUGAAUAUACUUCAUUUUUGUAUUACUAUAUCAAGUUUACACAGAUGGAUCAAAAAUGACCCGUUUAUCCAAGUAUGAUUUAAUGAUAAAUGAAGGCAUAUAAUAACAAUAUUUUUCUUCAAAUAACUAUUUUAGUUGUGAUUUGGACCAAACAUUCAUAAAAGUAACUUUUGUGUAACUUUUGAAACAUGUUUCUCACUUUGGAACACACAAACACAUCUGACAAUAGAUAACUAAAAAUAAAAUGAUGCGUUGACCAAAGUAAAAUAAAAUAGAACUGAUAGUGGUCUGUUCCCUGACGCAAUGCCCUGGUCCUCUUGUCAUCAAAAUGUAUGAAGUGCCGGAUAUCUUCAUAUCUCCUGAGCCCCAUAGUGGGCUUUUACAUUGGAUUUUGUUGCAGAUCUAGAAACAGCUCCCGCAAGGCCACAAAAUUCAGACUCAAAAUCACUUCCAAUAGCAUCCUCAUCUGGUUCUUCAUCCAACAUUCUCAGAACCAUUUCAGCUGUAAAUCUGCAAGCAGUACUCUGGAUAAAGUAAAUCAAAAGCACAAUACUUUCAGUAAUUUAUAUAAACUCAAUUCAGUUAUCUUUCUGUGUCAUCAAGUCAUCAAAUAUUUUCUUAGGUAAAGCAACUUACUUACUAGAGGCAGUUGUGCUGAGCAGGUGGUGAUUAGCAGAUGUCCGCAGUCAUUAUAUUCCUAAUUUCAAACAUGGUCAAAGGUUCCUACCAGGUGCACAUGCAUGUGCACAUGCAGGUGCAUGUGCAUGUGUGUUGAUGUUGAUGUAGGAAUACAAAAGUUGUGAAUGUUCACAAAGUAAGAAAAGAAACAUAAAAAUGAUGACUAGUGCUGAAUAGAAACCUGUUAUUUACUGUAUACAUGGGAUAGUGGAUGAUAAAACACAUGUAUUUCAAAGGCAGAGCAAAGCAACACUCAGCCAUACAUGAAAUAACACAGAAAAUGAAUGUGGGUCAUUUUUGACCCAUGUUGUGCAUUAGAAGUGUAGUUAUACAAAAAACGUUUUUAUUCAAAAAGUAAGACAACAAAUAAUAAAAUAAGGAUGUUAACUGAUAAAAAAAACAAGUUAAUUGAGGAAUACCUGGAAGACCAAAAGAUAAAACUAAUCAAUUACAAAGAUAAAGAACAUAAAAUCUCUGUCGGGUCACUUUUGACCCAUGUUGUGCAUCAGAGGGUUAAAAUAUAUCUAUAGUCUAAUAUAUAUCAGAUGUCUUCAUAAGUGUUUGUUACAUGUAUGUAAACAUAUUUUUUAUAGAUAUAUUUUUGAGUGUCUUGAAGCUAAUAUUUCAACCUUUUCUUGCAUCAUUACACUUUUCAUGAGGACUUUAUUUCUGCUGUAUAAGUGGAUUUAACACAAAACAGAACAUGGACAAAUGUUAUUCGGCUAAUGGACAGUUUAAGAUCAUGCAUGAUAUAGAAGUUUGUGAAUAUGUUGUCGCUACCAAACUCAUCACUCUGCACAUCAUCUCAGCUGAUUUAAUGUUAUAUGCUAUUUACAUGGAAAUGUAUUUGAUGUAGCUUUUCCUUUAAAUACAGAUUUAUACACACACUAAAAACUGAAGCUUUAUUACUGAUUAGGUGAUAGUUUAAUUCAUAGAAAGAGAAAUGAUAGUGUUUUAUCAAUUGUUGAUGACAAAUAAAGAAAUAAAAAA